rnacentral:tmRNA from 1 species
GGGGAUGUAAUGGUUUCGACGGGGAUGGAUGAAGUUCGAUAAGCGAGUGCCGGGCUCCUCGAACCGGCUUAGCAAGGGGAAAAUUUAAUCAUAACUGCGAACGAAGAGUACGCACUGGCGGCUUAACGCCACGUCGCCUGCACCGAUUCCGCCCGUCAGGUCAGAUGCGACGCCAAUAACGGGCUACCACGCUUGAGCGCACUGCAUAGCGUCGGGAAACUCUAAAGUGCUUGGCGGCUCGGAGGUUGUCAUUGAACUUCGCGCCGUUGAAAUUAAUCAAUGACUGCACUCGGAGAAAGUCUUGCGGCAUCAUUUUCGGACAGGAGUUCGAUUCUCCUCAUCUCCACCA